UACGGAGGGGGCUAGCGUUGUUCGGAAUUACUGGGCGUAAAGCGCACGUAGGCGGCUUUGUAAGUUAGAGGUGAAAGCCCAGGGCUUAACCCUGGAAUUGCCUUUAAGACUGCAUCGCUAGAAUCGUGGAGAGGUGAGUGGAAUUCCGAGUGUAGCAGUGAAAUGUGUAGAUAUUCGGAAGAACACCAGUGGCGAAGGCAGCAGAUUGGGCCGGUAUUGACGCUCAGGCACGAAAGCAUGGGGAUCAAACAGG
rnacentral:rRNA from 1 species